ACCUGCACUCUUUCCUCCUCCAAAACCGUGUGCACCUUGUGAGCAAGAGAAGCUUAGCAACAUGUUUUCUAAUCAUUUUAUUCCAUAAAUGUCUUCACAAAACUUCAAGCUAGUAACCUAAGGAACCUAACCUACCAACUUGUUCAUCCUUAGGAGCUUUAUAUGAUGAGUUCUUCCUCCAUAUGUCCAGCGACCCGCAGCUGCCCUCUUGGUUAAAUGAUGUGUUUUCAUGUCCUUUUGAUGAGAAGUUGAUGAAUUAGUCUCCUAGAAGCAUUAAAAGGUUGAAGAACAAGUUUAAAGGCAUUGGAUUAAAUACGUGAAAUUCAAGCAAGCUUGGAAUUGAGCUUUUUACAGGAGGUAGCAAUGGUACAGGAGCGGCGAGCAAGAACCCCGUAGGAUGAGUCAUUGGAGGACUUGCACUUUUGCAUUUUGAUGGCCAUUUGGCCUAGGCUAGACUUACGGCAUGAACAUCCCAUAUGUAUGUAGGAUGAGUUUCAUAGUCAUAUUUGUUCAUGUCAUUUUGCCUAAGUCUAGUUAGUUGUAUAUGUCUUUCAAGCUUUAUGUUUCAAGUUGUAAUUAAAGUAUGAAGUUGUAAGUUGUAAUAUGUAAGUGAAAUGUUGUAAUUGUACAAUGGAUACAUGAUGUAAUAUGAUGGAAGGGCUUUAGGCCUAUUUUAGGAUUAUAAUUAAUUGUAUG